GAUGAACGCUGGCGGCGUGCCUAAUACAUGCAAGUCGAGCGAACAGACGAGGAGCUUGCUCCUCUGACGUUAGCGGCGGACGGGUGAGUAACACGUGGAUAACCUACCUAUAAGACUGGGAUAACUUCGGGAAACCGGAGCUAAUCCCGGAUAAUAUAUUGAACCGCAUGGUUCAAUAGUGAAAGACGGUUUUGCUGUCACUUAUAGAUGGAUCCGCGCCGCAUUAGCUAGUUGGUAAGGUAACGGCUUACCAAGGCAACGAUGCGUAGCCGACCUGAGAGGGUGAUCGGCCACACGGGAACUGAGACACGGUCCAGACUCCUACGGGAGGCAGCAGUAGGGAAUCUUCCGCAAUGGGCGAAAGCCUGACGGAGCAACGCCGCGUGAGUGAUGAAGGUCUUCGGAUCGUAAAACUCUGUUAUUAGGGAAGAACAAAUGUGUAAGUAACUAUGCACGUCUUGACGGUACCUAAUCAGAAAGCCACGGCUAACUACGUG
rnacentral:rRNA from 1 species